ensembl:lncRNA
ACCUUGGUAAAUGAAGUCAUUCUCAAAAAAUAUCUUAAGGUAAAGGUUGAGAUUACCUGUGAAUCUAAGAGAGAGGAGUAGAGUCCUGGGCCUUAUAGCUAAGAAGCACAAGCAGCCAGGAAAGAAGCCGGGGCUGGACCUCGGCAGGUAAGAAGAAGCUGAUACAAGAACAGGAAGAAAACCAGAAUAAGCAGAAUCCAAGAGAGGAUCAUGUUUCAAGGUGGGCAGAAAAUAUUUUUUGUUUUGGGGCUAGACAGAAGGGAAUUGGGCCAGCGC